AAUUCACAAGACAGUAGGUAAAGGGAGGCAAUGUCUGCACAGGGACUAAGAAUUGUUUCCUCAUAUAGGAGUAGACAGAUAUUCCAAGUAUCGUUAUAGAUUGUUUGACAUUUUUCUUAGCUUUUUUGUUCUUAGAAGACAAGGUUGCAGAAGGUGCAUAUUCAAGGACGAAUCUUCUCAAAGAAGGGGGGAUUAUGUGAUAAUAAUAGAGGAAAAGCCUAAUGAUGAAUUAGAGAUUUUUGUGAACAACAAAGGGUGAAAAAGGUUAACAACAAUGAGCUUCCUAGAAAUAUCCGUAAGUGUUCCUGAAUAAGAAGUGAGCAAACUGAAUCCACCCUAGUACAAGCCCGAGGUAAUGAAUUAGGGUUAAAGAAAUAUAGACCUCGAU
rnacentral:lncRNA from 1 species